rnacentral:rRNA from 1 species
CGGACGAACGGCUGGCGGCGUGCCUAACACAUGCAAGUCGAGCGGAGAUAUGUAGAGGAAGUUUUCGGAUGGAGUUUAUAUAUUUUAGCGGCGGACGGGUGAGUAACGCGUGAGGAACCUGCCCUUUACAGGGGGAUAACGCACCGAAAGGUGCACUAAUACCGCAUGAGACCACAGCACCGCAUGGUGCAGGGGUCAAAGGAGUAAUCCGGUGAAGGAGGGACUCGCGUCCGAUUAGAUAGUUGGUGAGGUAACGGCUCACCAAGUCAACGAUCGGUAGCCGACCUGAGAGGGUGAUCGGCCACAUUGGAACUGAGACACGGUCCAAACUCCUACGGGAGGCAGCAGUGGGGAAUAUUGGGCAAUGGGGGGAACCCUGACCCAGCGACGCCGCGUGAGGGAAGAAGGUUUUCGGAUUGUAAACCUCUGUCCUUGGUGAAGAGAAGAAGACGGUAGCCAAGGAGGAAGCCCCGGCUAACUACGUG